rnacentral:rRNA from 1 species
AGUGAACGCUGGCGGUAGGCCUAACACAUGCAAGUCGAACGGCAGCACAGUAAGAGCUUGCUCUUACGGGUGGCGAGUGGCGGACGGGUGAGGAAUACAUCGGAAUCUACUUUUUCGUGGGGGAUAACGUAGGGAAACUUACGCUAAUACCGCAUACGACCUACGGGUGAAAGCAGGGGAUCUUCGGACCUUGCGCGAGUGAAUGAGCCGAUGUCGGAUUAGCUAGUUGGCGGGGUAAAGGCCCACCAAGGCGACGAUCCGUAGCUGGUCUGAGAGGAUGGUCAGCCACACUGGAACUGAGACACGGUCCAGACUCCUACGGGAGGCAGCAGUGGGGAAUAUUGGACAAUGGGCGCAAGCCUGAUCCAGCCAUACCGCGUGGGUGAAGAAGGCCUUCGGGUUGUAAAGCCCUUUUGUUGGGAAAGAAAAGCAGCAGGUUAAUACCCCGCUGUUCUGACGGUACCCAAAGAAUAAGCACCGGCUAACUUCGUG